UGCCCUGUAGCUGAGUGGUAAAGCAGCGAGCUGUUAACUCGAUGAUCGCGGGUUCGAUUCCUGCCGGGGCAG
rnacentral:tRNA from 2 species